AGGCUUCCCGGAGCAGGGGCCGUCCGACUAGGCGUACAUCCKYGGUGCCCGACGCAUUUGUCUCUCGUCCGAAGGACGCCGCAGCCGGUCGGGCAGUGCAAGCGCGACGGCCUGAAGGGCGGGAAAUGGCAGGUGGCCGGUGGCUCUCUUUUUGAAGGUCGCCGGUUGUUAGCCGUCCCGUCAGUGGCUCGUCGCUCGACCGAGGUGUCACGAGGCCCUCAAGGGCCCUCACGCCUCCUCCCACKUGAAGUCGGGAMAAACCGGUCGCAGGGSCAKUCSSCCGUCCCGYCGCACUCUUMCGGAGUGGUCGGGCGAACGGAAGGAGCCGUKGGSGACGGGGGGCCCSUSGGAGGCUGGAGGCUUGCGGCGAGUAGGUCGGUCACCCMCCCGACCCSUCUUGAAACACGGACCAAGGAGUCUAACAUKUGCGCGAGUCAAUGGGUCUUGAAAAGGCCCAGGGGCGCAAUGAAAGCAAAGGUCGRWGCACGCCGACCGAGUUGGGAUCCCCUCUUCGAGGGGGGCGCACCAACGACCCGUCCUAUCCSGCUCGCCGGUUGGGCGGAGUGUGAGCGUACACGUUGGGACCCGAAAGAUGGUGAACUAUGCCCGGACAGGACGAGGCCAGAG
rnacentral:rRNA from 1 species